rnacentral:rRNA from 1 species
CAAUAGCGUAUAUUAAAGUUGUUGCAGUUAAAAAGCUCGUAGUUGGAUUUCUGGUGGGAGUGACCGUUCCAGACUUGAUUGUCUGCGUAUUGAGUUGUCUCCAGCCAUCCUUGUGGAGAACUUUUCUUGCAUUAAUUUGUAGGGAUUGGGACCCGCAUCGUUUACUGUGAAAAAAUUAGAGUGUUUAAAGCAGGCAAUCGCUUGAAUACAUUAGCAUGGAAUAAUAAGAUAGGACUUUGGUACUAUUUUGUUGGUUUGCAUACCAAAUUAAUGAUCAACAGGAACAGUUUGAGGAUAUUCGUAUGAACAUGUCAGAGGUGAAAUUCUUGGAUUUUGAUCAGACGAACUACUGCGAAAGCAUUUAUCAAGGAUGUUUUCAUUAA